GAGCGCGCAACGUCUGCCCUCUUUACGCGACGUUGGGGCGGUGCGGAGGACUCGCAGGCCGCCAGUCCACCGUAGCACCCGCGGCUGGCGCGUGGAGUUAAGCUGGCUGCUGCGUGAUGGCGGAAACGCGCGGUCGAACCCGGAACAACCGUCCUUGACCCAACGCAGCUUCAGUCUUCCGGGUCACGUGCCCCCGCAGCGCCGCCCCGGACCCUGCAGGCCCCCAGUUGCUAGGCAACCGCGUCUGCUCUCCGGACGGCGCGGGCGAUAAAGAGUGGGAUCUAGGAGCUCCCGGGGCGCUGAUGGACCAGUAUUGCAUCCUGGGCCGCAUCGGGGAGGGCGCGCAUGGCAUCGUCUUCAAGGCCAAGCACAUAGAGACUGGCGAGAUCGUUGCCCUCAAGAAGGUGGCUCUGCGGCGGCUGGAGGAUGGCAUCCCCAACCAGGCCCUGCGGGAGAUCAAGGCUUUGCAGGAAAUUGAGGAUAAUCAGUAUGUGGUGCAGCUGAAGGCCGUGUUCCCGCAUGGAGCAGGCUUCGUGCUGGCCUUCGAGUUCAUGCUGUCAGACCUGGCAGAGGUGGUGCGCCAUGCCCAGAGGCCACUGGCUCCAGCACAGGUUAAGAGCUACCUGCAAAUGCUGCUCAAGGGUGUUGCCUUCUGCCAUGCCAACAACAUCGUGCACCGGGAUCUAAAACCUGCUAAUCUGCUCAUCAGUGCCUCAGGCCAGCUCAAGAUAGCGGACUUUGGCCUGGCCCGGGUCUUUUCUCCAGAUGGCAGCCGCCUCUACACACAUCAGGUAGCCACCAGGUGGUACCGAGCCCCUGAGCUCCUAUAUGGUGCCCGCCAGUAUGACCAGGGUGUUGACCUAUGGGCUGUGGGCUGCAUCAUGGGGGAGCUAUUGAAUGGAUCUCCUCUUUUCCCGGGAGAGAACGACAUUGAACAGCUUUGCUGUGUGCUUCGCAUCUUGGGCACCCCCAGCCCUCAAGUCUGGCCGGAGAUCACAGAGCUGCCUGACUACAACAAGAUCUCCUUUAAGGAACAGGCGCCAGUGCCCCUGGAGGAGGUGCUGUCAGACGCCUCUCCUCAGGCCUUGGACCUGCUGGGUCAGUUUCUCCUCUACCCUCCUCGCCAGCGCAUUGCAGCCUCCAAGGCCCUCCUGCAUCAGUACUUCUUCACAGCUCCUCUGCCUGCCCACCCAUCUGAGCUGCCGAUUCCCCAGCGCCCAGGGGGGCCUGCUCCCAAGGCUCACCCGGGACCUCCUCAUGUCCAUGACUUCCAUGUGGACCGGCCUCUUGAGGAGUCGCUGUUGGACCCAGAACUAAUUCGGCCCUUUAUCCCAGAGGGGUGAGACUUUGGCCCAGGUCCUGCCUGUCCCCCAGAAGUACCUGGGCUGCUUGUUCGCCUGUCUCCUGCCUGAUUCCACUUUCCAAGGCCUUCCAUAGCCAUACUGGACUCACUCCACACCUGCCUUGCUCCCACUGUGACCUGCUCCUCAGCCCCCUUGAUGAGGGUUCCAAGGUUCCAAGGAAGCAGAGUUCACAUUUCAGCCAAGGCAAUGAGGAUGUCUAGCCAAGCAGAGGAGGAGACCAUGGCCUUCUGACCAGUAGGAACAGUGUGCUGCACUACUGUCCGGGGACCACUCUGCAGUGGUACUGCUGGUUCUCAAUGCACUGCCUCCUCAAGGACAUUCCUGUUAGAACCAGCUGGGGAAGUGUGGAGAGUGACAUGUCCACAUGUUGGAAACUUGCGUGGAAAGGCAGGCUUGUUUUGGUUCUCAGAGACAGAAGAUGGUAGAAGUGGCACUGUCUCAUGGCCCUGUUUAUAGGGAUCACCAGAAAGGUGACUCCAGUCACAGCUGCUUUUGCCCUGAGGGCUUCCUGUGUGCUUCACAAGACUGAAUGCUCAUCUGGAAAUGAGGGAGACAGAAGUCCAGGUCCAGGGAUGGGCAGACUGAGGAUUCAGCAGCAAAGCCUUCACCUAUUAGGAUGUUACUAACAGCCACUCCUCAGGAUGAGGGUGAACCAGAAGCAGCUGUGCAAGUAGGGAAAACUGGCAUACCUGGAAUUUAUUUAUUCAAUAAAUCCUAGUACAACCCCAGUCGAUACAUAUAUUUUUAUUUGAUAGUAAUUUGGUAAGCUGAUUCCAAAAAUAUAUGGGGAUGCAAAGGACCAAAAGGAGGAAGAAGAGGUGAUGAUCAAAUAACUUACCAGGUGUCAAGACUUACUAUAAAGUCACAUAAUGACUAGGACAAUGGGCUUUGGUUCAGGGAGAGAGAAGAACAGAGAGAAACCUAAUCAUAGCUGUCCUUUAUUCUUUUUUGUCAGGGGUGGGGGUACCAGGGAUUGAACUCAGGGACACUUGACCAUGGAGCUACAUCUGCAGCCCAUUUUGUGUUUUA